rnacentral:lncRNA from 1 species
UGGGUUUUUCAAUAUAUAUGUGUUGUCAGCAAAUACCUGCACUGGAAAAUAACAUUAAGUCAGGGGUAAUCCGUAAUAUAUGUGUAAUUCAGGUCUCAGAAAGGGUAUAUACUAUGACAUUCCCGGCUUAGGGCUUAUAUCCCCUUUGCCUUCGACUCAGGGGAUAUAAACUCUAAGCCGGGAAUGUCACAGUAUAUACCCUGUCUGAGACCUGAAUAACAUAUAAUAUUAUCAUUGGUCUUGUCAUAUAUUACUAUAUAUAUUAUCAAUGUAGAAAUCACAGAUUUCAAUAAAUCUUUCAUAGCAAAUUUUUUUUUACUAAACCACCCUUUUGAAAAGAUACUCGAACCGUAAAUUUUUCUACACAUCGUAUUUCUACUAACAAAGAAUAAAACACCUCAUUCCAAAACCAAAUACAGCUUACAGGAUUCAUACAAAUAAUGAUAUGAAUCGUGUAUGCCCAUAUAUGAGAAUGUUUACAAAGUAGAAAUUUAUAAUUCUUAUAUGAUUUGCAUAUCUAUAAAUACUUGAAUUGGAUUGGUCAAUUAGAAUUUUUCUCUCAGUUUACACUUCGAUAAACCAUGUUUCCGAAACUACUUUUGUAAUCUAUUCAUGCGCGAUACACAAGCUUGCAGUGAUCCCGGGAUUUUCAGCAAAUUGAGAUUUAAAAACAAUUGCAUAACAGUUGUGACUAUUCUAGUGCAUAUAUAACAAAAAAAGAAAUAAUUUUAAUGCACUAAAGCUUCGUAAAUGUAUAAAAAUAAAAUUUAAUAAAAUUCCGCGAAAUUUAAUGAAGGAUUUGGCAGAUUUACGUCAUGACAAAACACGACGUC